GAAGCAGCUCCGGGAGGACAGGAACGUUCCAACCUCUCCUGCUACACUUGUGUCUCUGGCCGGGGCUUCCCAAAUGCAUGAUCAUUAAAGGGCAGGUCACAAGUGGGUGGCCACAGCGGAGCUCAGGCAAGAGCAGCGCCUCACGUUCCUCCCCCCUCUAGAUCACUUCCACCUGGCCUCAGCCUCCAGCAUCAAUGCGUCUGACUCCCCUGAAGAAUGGGGUCCACUGCCCGCAGGAAGGGAGGGGGCUGGCCCACU
rnacentral:lncRNA from 1 species